CGGAGGCGGGAGAACUCGGGAGCGCCGGGGCGCCGCGAGGGCUCGGCCUGGCUUGGCGGGCCCCUGCCCGGAACCGGGUCUCCGCGUUCAGCCGUUCUGGGCGGGCAAGGACCACAGCUGUGUGUUCAACGUUGUAAUAAGAGUAAACACUUGGCAUCACUUGCCACGUGCUGACACUGUUCUGGGAGCUCUACAUGUACUAAUUCAUUCAGUCCUCAUGACAGCCCCGUGCGGAGGUGCGUAAUUAUCCGCCAAGGGAGGACCCCAGAUCCGAGCCGCAGGUCUCCGGCAGACGAACGUACCGAGUUACCUUCUCGCCGGCAGCGCCACGGUCCACACCAGCUGUCCGGCUGCCCCUCUGGGAAGGCUGCAAACGUCUGGGGUGCACAGAGGAACCUGUUUAGGCAAACAUGUGCAGCUGACCCUGUCAGCCUGAGGCUUCGUAGACGCAGGCAGUGGAGUUGCUUUUUGAUAAAGUUUUGGCGCAUAAGCACUUCCUGAAGCCGGGUUUCUCAUUAUCCAUUCCUUUUCUUAGUUAUGAGAAAAACAUACAUAUUUGUUAAUUGCACUUUUUGAAAGUCACUUGUCUGUUUUUGAUGCCUAAAACAUGUUUAAGGCAAAUAGUCUUGACUUGGGUUAAAAUUUUCCAGACUGCAGUGGAGGCUACUUUCCUUCUACAAAGGUAGGCAGGAGAAAAUGGCCUGGAAGGAGGAAGAGGGAGAGCAGCUCAGGCAAGGCGCCAGGCGCCGGAUCCUGCUGUCUGGACGCAGCUGCACUGCCGACCGGCUGCGUCUGCCUCCUUCCCUGCCCCCAGUUAAUGUUUGCUCCAGGAAGCUGGUACCGGGGUUUUAUGCCUUGGGACUUGUGUUCCACAUAUAAUACACGUAUCAUAUGUUUUAAUAUCUCUUGGUUAUUUACUUCUGGGUCGUAUGGCAACUCCAAGUUUAACUUUCUGAAGAGCUGCCAAGCUGUUUCCACAGUGGCUGUGCCACAUCACAUUCCCACCAGCAGUGUGUGAAGGGAUUAAUCAUUGUCACCCACACUGGCCAUUAUGUCUUUCAGUUAUGGCCAACCUAGUGGAUGGGAAGUGGUAUCUCAUGGUUUUCAUUUGCAUUUCCAUAAUGACUCAUGAUGGUGAGCAUUUUUUCAUGUGUUUAUUUCAUUAUAUGUCUUUGGAGAAAUGUCUUCAAAUCCUCUGCUCAUUUUUCAAUUGGAUUAUUUGUCUUUUCACUGUUAAGCUGUAAAAGAUCUUAAUGUAUUCUGGAUACUAGACCCUUACCAGAUAUAUGAUUUGCAUGUACUUUCUCAAUAGUGUCCUUUAAAGCACAAAUGUUUUUAAUUUUGAUGAAGCCUGAUUUAUCUGUUUUUUAUUUGGUUGCCUGUGUUUAGGAUAUGUUUAAGUUUCAUCACCGCUGAGUAUACUUACAUUUUAAAACUUAGCUUUAAUUAUAGAAUGACAGCCUUUGCUUUAAGUUAAAAUAAUGUAAGCAUAGAGAUCAAGUAGGCAAGGAUUUUGAUGGGCAAGGAGACUCCUCAAACUGCCUGAACCCUAGGUUAAGGUCAAUACUACAUGGGCACCUCAGUGUGUAUAUAUGCAAAUUGGCAUUGCUUCAGGGCUGACAGUAGGGUACAGAACUGAAAAGAAAGUGGCCUACAGAUGAGAAUUGAAAUUGAGAGUGAAAAUGUCACUUCUCACACCUGUGUGGUGCACCCCAGUUCCAGCUCUUGCAGUCCAAGCUGGCGAUGAUGCUCAUCAUGUUGAUCCUAAUUAAUCACCAGCUUCUCCUACCAGAGUCCUUCCCCACUUCCCAGACCUGUCUCAAGUGCAGCCCCUACAGAGGGCCACCAAAGCCUAGACCCUUGGGUCAGAUCAAGUUUAUGCUUUUAAUUUGCACACUUACUACCCUCUGCUUUGUUGGGUCCCUGUGCCCGCACCCUCCUUGAGAAUGUCGAAUGUGGGGGGCCUGGGCCAUCUUUGUUUCUCCGUUAUGUUGUGCAGCGGGCCUUGAAUACCAUGGGCUCUCCGCUAAUACUUGGGAACUUAACCUGGACGUCUUCUGCUGACCUG